AGUUCCAUAGUGUAGUGGUUAGCAUGUCUGCUUUACACGCAGAAGGUCCUGGAUUUGUGCUUCAAUGGAGCCG
rnacentral:tRNA from 1 species